AGGAGGAGCGAGGGAGGGGGAGUAGCCACUUUUCUAAUUCACUCGGAUCUCCGCUCCCCGCACCCCCGGCGCCCCCCUCCGCCCAGGCGUUUGGCUCCGGCGGCGGUUCAGACGUUUCUUUGCAAAUAACAGCCUGGAGGCGACACUCGCGGAGGAAACGAGGUUUGCACCGAGCACCCCGCCCCCCCGGGGGGCUCCAGCGCUGGAAGACCCUCGCCCUCGGCCGGGUUUCGGAAUUGCUGAUUUUAAAAAUGUGAAUCGAAUAAAUCGCGUGGCGUUCUGCAGCGCCAGAAGAAAACAAAUGAGAACCAAGAGUUCAUGGAGAUGGAAUCACUCAUUUUGUUCAGCGAGAAUUUGUCGAGUCUCCUGUAUGCCAGCCACCUGAAUACCUGGGAUCACAGCUGUGCACCACUGUGCCUAGUCUGGGAAGACGGCUUUUGAGUAAGAGAAGAUUGAAAGACCUUAAACUUGGAAGGAGUCCUCGCGCUUCACAGACUCUCAGAGUCUAUGGCACACGCACAAAAGGCCUAAGAACCCUUGUCUCGACAGAGAACAGCAAGUGCAAAAAUGCAAAGCCUCUGGGACAGCAGGGUGAUUGCUUUGUAGAAGGGAAGAGAUUAUUUAGAGCCUUGUAGGAUAUUCCUAAGAAUUUGGCUUUCGCUGGAGUGAUGGGGAGGGCUUUGAGCUGAAGAGUGACAAGAUCUGACCCUGGAUUUUGCAGGUCACUUGGCCGUCAUGUGAAGAACAGACAGAAGAGGAGAAGGCUGAAGCAGGAAGAGAGGAAGAGCAUUGAGGAGGUCACCUAAUAAACCGGGUGAGAGAUGAUGAGAGACGGAUAACCACGUUGCUGGAGAAUUCAAUUUAAAUAACUGGAGCAGGAUUCGGUCAUGCAGGCUUGUAAUCUCAGCUGCUUAGGAGGCUGAGGCAGGAGGAUCACCAUGAGUUCAAGGCUAUCCUGGACUACGUAGUGCAUUCAAGGCCAGCCUGAACCACAUAGCAAGACCCUGUCUCAGAAACCAAAAUAAAUAAAUAAAUAAUUUUUAAAAAGA